AACGAACGCUGGCGGCAGGCCUAACACAUGCAAGUCGAACGCCCCGCAAGGGGAGUGGCAGACGGGUGAGUAACGCGUGGGAAUUUCCCCCAAGGUUCGGAAUAACUGAGGGAAACUUCAGCUAAUACCGAAUGGUACCGAGAGGUUAAAGAUUUAUCGCCUUGGGAUGAGCCCGCGUUGGAUUAGCUAGUUGGUGAGGUAACGGCUCACCAAGGCUGUGAUCCAUAGCUGGUCUGAGAGGACGACCAGCCACACUGGGACUGAGACACGGCCCAGACUCCGACGGGAGGCAGCAGUGGGGAAUCUUGGACAAGGGGCGCAAGCCUGAUCCAGCCAUGCCGCGUGGGCGAUGAAGGUCUUCGGAUUGUAAGGCCCUUUUGGCGGGGACGAUAAUGACGGUACCCGCAGAAUAAGCUCCGGCUAACUUCGUGCCAGCCGCCGCUGUAAGAC
rnacentral:rRNA from 1 species